UUAUUAGUUCUCAGAGUGUGUAAUGCCACGUGGGAUGUUGUGGAACAAGCUGUUUAUAUUAUAUUUAUAUAAAGUAUUUACACUAAAGAGUCUCCGGGUUUUAUUCUAAGUGUUAAAGUCUCUUUUAAUUAAUAUUUCCUGAUGUCGGGCCCGACAACCCCCCCCGGACCGUUACAUUAUUGGACAAUAAAAUACAGCCUCUGGCCUUAUUGCUUAAAUACGUUAUACCAGCUUACUUUAUUAUAUUUUCUGUGUCGGUUUACCUGUACACAUAAAUAUUGUCCGAAAUUAAUCUUGGAAAUCAUUUAAUAUGAAAUAUUUCUACUUUGGGAAUCAAUAAACAGUCCUCUUUAAUAAAUUAAAUAAUAAAGUAUAC